rnacentral:sRNA from 1 species
UCCUAUUGCUUGGACUGUGCCUCCUAAUC